CAAGACGUAGCUAUAACAAAAGCAUUCAGCUUACGCCUGAAAGAUAUCUGCCCCCCACCAGAUCGUCUUGA
rnacentral:tRNA from 1 species